rnacentral:rRNA from 1 species
AACGAACGCUGGCGGCAGGCUUAACACAUGCAAGUCGAACGCCCCGCAAGGGGAGUGGCAGACGGGUGAGUAACGCGUGGGAAUCUACCCAAUUCUUCGGAACAACUGAGGGAAACUUCAGCUAAUACCGGAUGUGCCCUUCGGGGGAAAGAUUAUCGGAAUUGGAUGAGCCCGCGUUGGAUUAGCUAGUUGGUGGGGUA